rnacentral:lncRNA from 1 species
GUCCGCGAAAGUAAAGACGUAAGAAAUGUAGUUGGAUUAUGACGUUAACAGUCGUUUAUACAAACUAAAAAUGAAUACGCCGGAAAAUAAACUGCAGACAUUUGAUUAACAACUUUUAAACCAAAGGUUAAUGACUUAAUUUAAACCAAACCGUGCUUUGUCGGCUAAAGCAAAGGUGUUUUAUUUUGGUGGCUUGAAGAAGAACUUGUAUCCUGCUCUCGACCUGUUUACUAUAGUCCCUGUCGAUACAAGUAGUAUUUGC